GGGUCUGUGGAGCCGAUCCUGGAGCUCGAGACUUUUGAAGAAGUCAACAGAUCGAGUGACAAUGUAUACGGGUUAUCAGCCGGUGUCAUCACCAAAAACAUUAAGAUUACUCUCGAAUAUGCCACAGCCAUAGAAGUCGGUAGUGUAUGAUAAAGUCCCUUAAACUACUAAGCAAAGAUUUUUUUGAGACAUCUACCAACGAACACGGCUAUUUUCUUUAAAGGUGAACCAGUGCAAUGCCAUGACUGUACAAACACCUCUCGGUGGUUUCAAACAGUGCGGCAGGACGCGAAUUGGGAAAGGAAAGGUUGGACGAUGCCUACCUUCCAACCAAAACUAUUCUGAUUAUAAAACACCAUUCAAUCACUGAUGUGUCUCGCAACAGCACUCUACAAAUGUUACGUGAAAUCUAAUAUGGCCACAUGAACUUUUACUAUUACGCGCUUUCAAUGAGACAAGAAUGAAAUGGUGGUCUAUCGAGCUCAGGCAGAAAAUGGUCGACUACUACUUGAUCGUAAAUUGAGUUUAUGGCAAUGCGUUAAGGUUGCUGCUACGAAGACGCAAAAGUAAUUCAACACUCCAAGAUUAGCUACUAAAUUUUCAAAAACUCUUUAAUCAAGAGAAAUCUGUAUCAAGAAAUAAAGUAAAGACACUUCGAAAGUU